rnacentral:rRNA from 1 species
GUUAGAGAAGAUCAAGGAUAAGAGUAACUGCUUGUCCCUUGACGGUAUCGAUCCGUAAAGCCACUGCUAACUACGUGCAAGCAGCGGCGGUAAGACGUAGGUGGCAAGCUGUAUCCGGAGUUAUUGGGCUGAAAGCGCGCGCAGGCGGUCUUUUAAGUCUGAUGUGAAAUCCCCCGGCUUAACCGGGGAGGGUCAUUGGAAACUGGAAGACUGGAGUGCAGAAGAGUAGAGUGGAAUCCCGCGUUUAGCCGUCAAAUGCGUAGAUAUGUGGAGGAACGCCAGUGGCGCAAGUGUCUCUCUCAUCUGUAACUGACGCUGAGGCGCGAAAGCGUGGGGAGCAAACAGGAUUAGAU